rnacentral:rRNA from 1 species
UACGGAGGGGGCUAGCGUUGUUCGGAAUUAUUGGGCGUAAAGGGCGCGUAGGCGGCCGGAUAAGUCUGAUGUGAAAUCCCUCGGCCCAACCGGGGAACUGCAUCUGAAACUGUUCGGCUUGAGUCCGGGAGAGGGUAGUGGAAUUCCCAGUGUAGCGGUGAAAUGCGUAGAUAUUGGGAGGAACACCGGUGGCGAAGGCGGCUACCUGGACCGGUACUGACGCUGAGGCGCGAAAGCCAGGGGAGCAAACAGG